GAGCGAACAGAUAAGGAGCUUGCUCCUUUGACGUUAGCGGCGGACGGGUGAGUACACACGUGGGUAACCUUACCUAUAAGAGCUGGAAUAACUCCGGGAAACCGGGGCUAAUGCCGGAUAACCAUAUAGAACCGCAUGGUUCUAUAGUGAAAGAUGGUUUUGCUAUCACUUAUAGAUGAACCCGCGCCGUAUUAGCUAGUUGGUAAGGUAAUGGCUUACCAAGGCGACCGAUACGUAGCCGACCUGAGAGGGUGAUCGGCCACCACUGGAACUGAGACACGGUCCCAGACUCCUACGGGAGGCAGCAGUAGGGAAUCUUCCGCAAUGGGCGAAAGCCUGACGGAGCAACGCCGCGUGAGUGAUGAAGGGUUUCGGCUCGUAAAACUCUGUUAUUAGGGAAGAACAUAUGUGUAAGUAACUGUGCACAUCUUGACGGUACCUAAUCAGAAAGCCACGGCUAACUACGUGCCAGCAGCCGCGGUAAUACGUAGGUGGCAAGCGUUAUCCGGAAUUAUUGGGCGUAAAGCGCGCGUAGGCGGUUUCUUAAGUCUGAUGUGAAAGCCCACGGCUCAACCGUGGAGGGUCAUUGGAAACUGGGAAACUUGAGUGCAGAAGAGGAAAGUGGAAUUCCAUGUGUAGCGGUGAAAUGCGCAGAGAUAUGGAGGAACACCAGUGGCGAAGGCGACUUUCUGGUCUGUAACUGACGCUGAUGUGCGAAAGCGUGGGGAUCAAACAGGAUUAGAUACCCUGGUAGUCCACGCCGUAAACGAUGAGUGCUAAGUGUUAGGGGGUUUCCGCCCCUUAGUGCUGCAGCUAACGCAUUAAGCACUCCGCCUGGGGAGUACGACCGCAAGGUUGAAACUCAAAGGAAUUGACGGGGACCCGCACAAGCGGUGGAGCAUGUGGUUUAAUUCGAAGCAACGCGAAGAACCUUACCAAAUCUUGACAUCCUUUGACCACCUCUAGAGAUAGAGCUUUCCCCUUCGGGGGACAAAGUGGACAGGUGGUGCAUGGUUGUCGUCAGCUCGUGUCGUGAGAUGUUGGGUUAAGUCCCGCAACGAGCGCAACCCUUUAAGCUUAGUUGCCAUCAUUAAGUUGGGCACUCCUAGGUUGACUGCCGGUGACAAACCGGAGGAAGGUGGGGAUGACGUCAAAUCAUCAUGCCCCUUAUGAUUUGGGCUACACACGUGCUACAAUGGACAAUACAAAGGGCAGCUAAACUCGCGAGGUCUAGUGCAAAUCCCAUAAAGUUGUUCUCAGUUCGGAUUGUAGUCUGCAACUCGACUACAUGAAGCUGGAAU
rnacentral:rRNA from 1 species